GCGGGAAUAGCUCAGAUGGUAGAGCACGACCUUGCCAAGGUCGGGGUCGCGAGUUCGAGUCUCGUUUCCCGCUCCA
rnacentral:tRNA from 1 species